CAUGGCCUCCUGCAACCCACAAAUAAGAGGUCCAACCUGCCCAGUGACAAUAAGUUUAACGGCCGCGGUAUUUUAACCGUGCUAAGGUAGCGUAAUCACUUGUCUUUUAAAUGAAGACCCGUAUGAAAGGUGUCACGAGGGCCCCCCUGUCUCCUACUUCAAGUCUAUGAAAUUGAUCUGCCCGUGCAGAAGCGGACAUACCCACAUAAGACGAGAAGACCCUGUGGAGCUUAAGACUAUUGACCAAUCAUGCCUAAUAAUCUACUCACCAAACACCAUAAAAGACCAAACAAGCCCAAUGAUAAUGGUUUAAUAUCUUCGGUUGGGGCGACCAUGGGGGAUAAAAAAGCCCCCAAGAAGAAACAGGGGAUCAACUCCACUAAUCCCUAAGAGUCAAGAGCUACAACUCUAAACAACAGAAACACCUGACUAAUAAUGAUCCAGAGACCAUCUCUGAUCAACGAACCAAGUUACCCCAGGGAUAACAGCGCAAUCCUUUCCAAGAGUCCAUAUCGCCGAAAGGGUUUACGACCUCGAUGUUGGAUCAGGACAUCCUAGUGGCGAAAAUUCUACCAAGGGUUCGUUUGUUCAACGAUUAAAGUCCUACGUGAU
rnacentral:rRNA from 1 species